rnacentral:piRNA from 1 species
UUGAAAAGGUCUUCUCUGAGUUCCUGUGGC